AGGGCAUACGGUGGAUGCCUAGGCGCCAAGAGCCGAAGAAGGACGCGGUAAGCUGCGAAAAGCCACGGGGAACUGCAAGCAAGUAUUGAUCCGUGGAUAUCCGAAUGGGGAAACCCGGCCAUCGUCAUGGAUGGUCACCCGCAAGGGAGGGAACCUGGGGAACUGAAACAUCUAAGUACCCGGAGGAAGAGAAAUCAAACGAGAUGCCCACAGUAGCGGCGAGCGAAGAGGGCAGAGCCCAAACCGAGAAGCUCCGGCUUUUCGGGGUUGAGGACCGGCAGAAUCGAAGUCAGGCCUAGUUGAAUUACCUGGAAAGGUAAGCGAGAGAGGGUAAAAGCCCCGUAGACGAAAGGCAGAGCAGAGAGGCCGAGAUCCAGAGUACCACGAAGCACGAGGAAUUUUGUGGGAAGCAGGGGGGACCACCCUCCAAGGCUAAAAACUACUUGGCGACCGAUAGCGCAUAGUACCGUGAGGGAAAGGUGAAAAGAACCCCGGGAGGGGAGUGAAAUAGAACCUGAAACCAUAUGCUUACAAGAAGUUAGAGCCCGUUAAAGGGUGAUAGCGUGCCUUUUGUAGAAUGAACCGGCGAGUUACGAUAUGGAGCGAGGUUAAGCAGGAUAUGCGGAGCCGAAGCGAAAGCGAGUCUUAAUAGGGCGAAAGUUGCAUGUCGUAGACCCGAAACCGAGUGAUCUAGCCAUGACCAGGUUGAAGUUGGGGUAAAACCCGAUGGAGGACCGAACCGACCCCCGUUGAAACGUUGGCGGAUGAGUUGUGGCUAGGGGUGAAAUUCCAAUCGAACUCGGAGAUAGCUGGUUCUCCCCGAAAUAGCUUUAGGGCUAGCGUCGGAUAUGUGUAGUGGAGGUAGAGCACUGAAUGGGCUAGGGGGCAUAUCGCUUACCGAACCUUAUCAAACUCCGAAUGCCAUAUACAUUUAGUCCGGCAGUCAGACUACGAAUGAUAAGAUCCGUGGUCAAAAGGGAAACAGCCCAGAUCGUCAGCUAAGGUCCCAAAGUGUAAGUUAAGUGGAAAAGGAUGUGGGAUUUCAAAGACAACUAGGAUGUUGGCUUAGAAGCAGCCACUCAUUUAAAGAGUGCGUAAUAGCUCACUAGUCGAGAGGUCCUGCGCCGAAAAUGUCCGGGGCUGAAACACAACACCGAAGCUGCGGAAUUGCGAAUGCAAUUGGUAGAGGAGCAUUCUUAAUACCGACGAAGCUGUACCGGAAGGAGCAGUGGAGGGAUAAGAAGAGAGAAUGCCGGAAUGAGUAGCGAGAGAGAGGUGGGAAUCCUCUCGGCCGAAUAUCCAAGGUUUCCAGAGUAAAGCUGAUCUGCUCUGGGUAAGUCGGGGCCUAAGGCGAGGACGAGAGUCGUAGCCGAUGGACAACAGGUGGAGAUUCCUGUACUGCGGUAUGACAGAACUGUGGGGACACGUAAGGAAAGCGGAAGCCGGGAAUGGAAAGCCCGGUGCAAGCGGGGUACCAGUCACUUUGGCAAAUCCGGGUGGCAAUGGGAAGCCGUGAUGCGGAGCGAAAUAAAGUAGUGAAGUCCGUGAGCCAUGCGUCAAGAAAAGCCGCUAUCGUUUAUACCGUACCCGUACCGUAAACCGACACAGGUGGAUGAGGAGAGAAUCCUAAGGCCGGCGGAAGAAGCAUUGUCAAGGAACUCGGCAAAAUGGCCCCGUAACUUAGGGAUAAGGGGUGCCUGGGAAACCAGGCCGCAGAGAAUAGGCUCAAGCAACUGUUUAGCAAAAACACAGGUCUAUGCGAAACCGAAAGGUGAGGUAUAUGGGCUGACGCCUGCCCGGUGCUGGAAGGUUAAGAGGAGAGGUUAGCGCAAGCGAAGCUUUGAAUUUAAGCCCCAGUAAACGGCGGCCGUAACUAUAACGGUCCUAAGGUAGCGAAAUUCCUUGUCGGGUAAGUUCCGACCCGCACGAAAGGUGUAACGAUUUGGGCACUGUCUCAACGAGGGACCCGGUGAAAUUGAAGUACCUGUGAAGAUGCAGGUUACCCGCGACUGGACAGAAAGACCCCAUGGAGCUUUACUGUAACCUGAGAUUGGAUUCCGGUAAGAGAUGUACAGGAUAGUUGGGAGGCAGAGAAGUGAGUACGCCAGUAUUCACGGAGCCGCUGGUGGGAUACCAACCUUGUUUUAUUGGAAUUCUAACGAGAAGCGUAACGAGCUUGCGGACAGUCUCAGGCGGGCAGUUUGACUGGGGCGGUCGCCUCCGAAAGAGUAACGGAGGCGCCCAAAGGUUCCCUCAGCGCGGACGGAAACCGCGCGAAGAGUGCAAAGGCAGAAGGGAGCUUGACUGCGAGACGGACAGGUCGAGCAGGGACGAAAGUCGGGCUUAGUGAUCCGGUGGUAGAGAGUGGAAUUGCCAUCGCUCAACGGAUAAAAGCUACCCUGGGGAUAACAGGCUUAUCUCUCCCAAGAGUCCAUAUCGACGGGGAGGUUUGGCACCUCGAUGUCGGCUCAUCACAUCCUGGGGCUGAAGUCGGUCCCAAGGGUUGGGCUGUUCGCCCAUUAAAGUGGUACGUGAGCUGGGUUCAGAACGUCGUGAGACAGUUCGGUCCCUAUCCAUCGCGGGCGCAAGAGAUUUGAAGGGGGCUGCUCCUAGUACGAGAGGACCGGAGUGGACGAACCGCUGGUGUACCAAUUAUCCCGCCAGGGGUACAGUUGGGUAGCUACGUUCGGAAAGGAUAAACGCUGAAAGCAUCUAAGCGUGAAACCAGCCUUAAGAUGAGAUCUCUCAUAGAGCAAUCUAGU
rnacentral:rRNA from 1 species